rnacentral:rRNA from 1 species
UACGUAGGGUGCGAGCGUUGUCCGGAAUUAUUGGGCGUAAAGAGCUUGUAGGCGGUUCGUCGCAUCUGCUGUGAAAUUUCGGGGCUCAACCCCGAACUUGCAGUGGGUACGGGCAGACUAGAGUGUGGUAGGGGAGACUGGAAUUCCUGGUGUAGCGGUGAAAUGCGCAGAUAUCAGGAGGAACACCGAUGGCGAAGGCAGGUCUCUGGGCCACUACUGACGCUGAGAAGCGAAAGCAUGGGGAGCGAACAGG